rnacentral:rRNA from 1 species
UAAUACCCUAUAGGUUACAGAUGCUGGAAUGCUCUGUAACUCAAAGUUCCGGCGCCUUAGGAUGGAUCUGCGGCCGAUUAGGUUGUUGUUGGGGUAAUGGCCCAACAAGCCAGUAAUCGGUACGGGUUGUGGGAGCAAGAGCCCGGAGUUGGAUUCUGAGACACGAAUCCAGGCCCUACGGGGCGCAGCAGGCGCGAAAACUUUACAAUGCGGGCAACCGUGAUAAGGGAACCUCGAGUGCCUGUAUAUGCAGGCUGUCCAGGUGUCUAAAGCACACCUGAAGAAAGGGCCGGGCAAGACCGGUGCCAGCCGCCGCGGUAAUACCGGCGGCUCGAGUGGUGGCCACUUUUAUUGGGCUUAAAGCGUUCGUAGCUGGGUUAUUAAGUCCCUUGGGAAAUCCGACAGCUUAACUGUCGGGCGUCUAAGAGAUACUGGUAAUCUUGGAACCGGGAGAGGUGAGGGGUACUUCGGGGGUAGGAGUGAAAUCCUGUAAUCCUCGAGGGACCACCUGUGGCGAAGGCGCCUCACCAGAACGGCUUCGACAGUGAGGGACGAAAGCUGGGGGAGCAAACCGGAUUAGAUACCCGGGUAGUCCCAGCCGUAAACGAUGUGCGUUAGGUGU